CAGAAAUUUUGGACCACAGUGAGGUUUUUCUCCCCAAGGAUCCCUGGUAUGAAUCCUUCCAGAAGUUGUUUUGAGCUGAUGGCAGUGGCUGUGGGGAGCUGUGAUCUGGAUCUCCUCCUAUGACUUGGAGUAUCAUUCUUGGGCGCUUACUGAGCGUGAGUAGGUGCCGUCUGGAAAUCUUGCCUCCAUUUGCUACCAGGAAGGCAGGCUCAGUGUGAACCAACGGCUGAUCCAGUGGCUGGAGGCUCCAACAGUGUCAGCAGAGUCAUGAGAGAGGGAGGUGGGAGCCCUCUGGGCUUGUCACAAGGCAGGGCCGUACCUGAAAUGUUUACGCUCAGUUCUGGGUCCACAUUUUAAGAGACAAUUUAACAUGUCGGAAGGACCCCUCAGGGGGACAGUAUUCGUGUGGAAACCAUACCACGUGAGAAACCAUUGAUCUUCAGUCUAUUUAUGGACUUGAUUUAUGGACUUGAAAACUUCCUUCAAGUGGCUGAUUGGUCGGGUGGCAAGGGAGCCCGGAAAACUGGAGAAGAGCUAUGUUGUUCUCACAUCACAGCUUCCACCCCAUCCCAUCAAAAUUCGACCUGGAUCUUCCUCUCUCCUUUCAUUGCUUCCUGUCUCAGAAGAACUGUUCCUCCUCCCAUUUGGAAGUUGACCCCAUCCUCUCCCAUCUCCUCUAGGACAUACCCUGUCAAUUACCACCCGGAAUCUUUAAUUUUUCCUUCUCCACUGGCUGCUUCCUAUAAGCCUGCAAAUAUGAGCAGGAUGAUGAUCUGGGUUCUUACUAUGUGUCAGAUGCAUAGUGAUUUAUAUUUGCCUUCUCUUGAUUAAUCCCCACACCAAUCCAAUGGAGUGGGAGAUGUCCUUUCCAUUUAUAGAGGAGGAAACUGAGGCUUCGAGGAAUUCAGUGACAUUCAUUCCCAAGCCCACACAGUUGCCAAGUGAUGAAACUAGGACUAACUCCAGGUCCAUCUGCCUCUAAUACUCUGAACCUCACUUGCAUUCAAGCUGUUAAACACCCGCUCCCCUUCCCAGCCAAAUUCCUCUAAAGAAGUUCCUCUUCAUGUGUCUGCUUCCUCACUGCUCAUUCACUCCCCAGCCUGCUGCAGCCUGCUUUCUGCAUUCACCCUCUGCAGAAAACAGUUCCCCCAAAGGUCAUCAGAGAUAUAACUGUUAAUCCCAGUAGCCUUUCCUCGGCUCUCAUUCCGCCCAGCCCUGCUGCAGCAUUUGACAUUAUGAGUAUGCACCCCUUUCUCCCUUAUUCUGUGUCUGGCUGAGCUCAUCCAUUCCCACCACUUCACCUCUCAUUCUUCUAAUCCUCAUCUUAGGUCCCUCCUUCCAAGCGUCACUAGUCCUUUUAGAGGAUCUGAGGACUCGGCUGAAGCUGGAAACCAGGAAUCUGUGUGUGAGAUUUCCCUUAUAGAGGUAGGGGUAAGAUACGGGGUAGGAGGAAUUGAACCUGCUGGAAAGCAUUGUUCCAGUGGUCCAACUGUCGUUGUUCCAUCAUUGGGUGAAGUUAUAGCGGGUGGGGAAGUUAUAGAGCAGAAACAAAGGGACCAGGAAUGGGGACUGGUAUAGUCUCAAAAAGCAGAGAGAGCUGGCAGUGCAGAAGGCGGUGCCUAGAGGGUGAGAUGGUGAAGUUCAAGGAGAAAGCAGGCUGAGACCCUGGGAAAGGGUGACUCUGAUACAGAGCAAGUGAAUAUUACUGGAAUUACAGGAAUAUUGCCAGAAUGUCAUGGAACUAAGAGUCUAGAUUGUUGGCUGGCUCCACCUAGACUCCAACCUCCCCUAAAAUCAUGGCAGGAGGUCGGCUUACCUCCCCUGACUCAUGCCUGCAUCCCACGUGAAGCUGUGCCCUCAGCAGCAAUGAGGUUUUGGAUCCCUGGGGCCCACCUUUAAUUUUCCAGUUUGCUGUGAGCUUGGUGUUCCUUCUCCGGUAAAGCGGGGCCACAAAUCCAGCGCUGUGCUGAGAGGCACAACUCCCGGAGUGCCCCUCACAGGGACUGAAACUGGGAAACCAAAGCCACUCCAAUUGCACGAUGCUUAGCAUGCACGCAGAAGCACUUGGUGAAUGAGCAGAGGAAUGAAUGAAUUCAUUUCCUGUGCAUCUUAUUCGAGUUCAGUUCAGUGGCAAUUUUUGAGCACUUGCUCUGUGUGAGGGAUUUAGACAGAUCAAGAGAGAAGAGGGCAGAAGGACUGCCUGCUGCCCAGGUGCUAAUAUCCUUGCUGAUUCUAAAUUAGGGGAAAACCUUAGAGGGCUCCCGAUGCAGACUUAAUCUCUCUCUUCUGGGCUCAAUUUGCAAAUCUCAUUUAGAACCCCAGAGACGCUUUAAUCUGCUAAAUGACAGGAAGUCAGCUUUGGCGAGACCUCUCAGGUGCAGGGCCACUCUCCUCAGGGUCACCAGGUGAAUGAAGUCAAACAUGUCCGCCCUGGACAGAGCUGCCGCUGGAUCCUGCAGGGAAGCCCCUGGAGGCUGCAUCCAAGAAAGCAUCUCCGGCUCCCCUCUCCCAGUCUCUGAGUCGGGUGGGGGUGGGCGCGUUAACUGAUCACUUCCUUCACUUCCUUUCUCAUCAUAUUCUGAAAGGAGCCUGAGGAUCUCUUUCCAUUUUCACAUGGACACAAUCCCUGUCUCUAAAACCCUUGGAGUAUCUCUUGGAGAAUUACCUCUUGCCUGUUUCUGUCUGCAGCAACCAGAGCUGGAACAAACAAGAGGCUUCUCUUCCCAAUUUUCGGAAGAAAAGCACAGGAAAAGAGCCUUUCAAGGAGAGCCCCAAUCCCUCCUUGUUUUUCCCACAUUCAGGCAGCCAUUUCCCCGUCUUCCCUCCCGUUCUAGGCAGUGAUGCUUCAGUAGAGCAGGGCUGAUGAUUCGGCUAGACAGAAGCGUAGGUCUUGGAUGGCGGCCACCACGGGUCUGCCCUCAGAGCCUUCCAGAAGAGCCUCCCUCUUGGUCACUUGCCAGACUGGAUAUGACUGUUCCUACUGCCAGUCCUGGGCACCCAGGUUCCAGCCACAUGAGCUCUAGAAACCCCAGCAACCCCGGAGCAUCCAGCUGCUGUGGGUUUGCCUUUGGCUGACAGGACUCCUCCAUCAGCACCACACCCCCUACACCUCCAAACAGAGCAAAGAUAGCCCAGUGGGGAAGAAACCAAAGAGGGAGUUUAGGACAGUGGUGAGGAGGGGACCGAUCCAUCAGACUGGGCGGAUGCCUUUACACAGAGCCAGCUUUGUGGUGCAGGUGGAGCAGGAAACCCUUUGCCAGAGGUUAAACCCCGGACCUGGUGUCCUGGGACUCUGCUUCUCUGUAGACUCUGUGGGGAGACCCUGGAGUUGGACCACGAUGGAUAACUAACAACCUCAGGGGACACAUUCACUUGUAGAUGUGUUGCACAAUGCUGUCAAAAACUUUGAUCCAACAUUUACAGACUAGGAGAGUCACAGAUUUAUGGCUUCUUUUCGAAGAAAAAAAUUAAAAGGUAUUUUAAACUGGGCUCUCAUGGCAAAAUGGUCUGUGCCGGUUACACAGUUCUCCAAGCCCGGGACAGCUCUCACCCACGGCCAGGCGCCUGACCCGGCACUUGUGCUGCUGCUUUUCUUACGGUAGAGAAUGAUCUCUCAAUACGCCCUUUGCCACUGAAAGUGGUUUUUCCACACUGAUCCUGUGGAUCGCCCUGGGGCUGCGCUCAGCAGGUGCUUCUGGAGUUCCUGGUGCAGCUGCCGCCAGCUAGAGGUUGGGUGGGGCUGGACAGUCUAAGGUGGUCUCGCGCAUGGCCUGGCAGUCGGUGCUGGCGACCGGCUGGGCUUCUGUCUGUGGGCAGCCUCUCAUCCUGGGAGAGCUGCUCUGACACUCUUCAUGAGUUCUAAGGGGGUGAGAAUAAAAGCUGAAAGGCCUCUUGAGGUGUGAGCCAGGAAGUCACGUAGCAUCACUUUGGCCACAUUCGAUGGUCAAGACAAGUCACAAGACCAGCUCAAGACUCACUGAAGAGUUGUUUACACAGAAAUGGGAGGAAUUUGGGGCUGUUUUUUGCAAUCUGCCACGUCUCCUCAUUUUCUUCAACCUGUUUUCAAUAAACUUGGCAUGUGUCUGGCGGACAAAGAUGACCACUCGUAGUAUGUGUAGAAGAGGGUCACAAACCCUGCUAUUCAUUGUUCAUUCUUCAUUUCUCUCUUACAGAACCCCAGUCCUUUUUUUUUUUUCAGGGUAGCAAUGUGCUCAGUUACAAAUAUUCACCUUCCCAAAUUCCCUAAUAGCUGGGAUGACCACGUGACCCAGUUCUGGCCAAUGAAGGUAACUAGAAGUCUCCUGGGCAGGCCCUCAAGGAGACCUGUUGUUUUCUUGAUCAGAGGGAACAGGCCCUGUGUCCCUUGCCUCUCCCCCUUCCUGUCUCAUUCCUGCCUGGAUCCCAUAUGCAACACUUAGGGGCAAACAGCCGUCCCGAAACCGUGAGGCUGUUGUGAGCAAUGGCAGCAUGGAAGCACAGAAGCCUGAUCUCCGAUGACCCCGUGGGGCUUCUCUCCUAGUCCUAGACUCCCUACCUCUGACCUUCUGUUGCCGAGAAAAAAUAGCCCGUACUCAGUUUCGUCACAGUCAGAGCUGUGCUUCCUGCUGCUGAAACGGGGGGUGACGAGGAAAUGAGACCGGGCAGGAGGGCAGAAGGCUGAUCAUGUAGGGCUGUGACUAUUAGGAAGACACUGCAGAAAACUGAAAGGAACCUCGGUCUUUUGUUGUGCGCAUGUGUGUUCGUGUGUACUUGGAUGUUUGUGAGUCUGGAUCUAGGUGUGUCUGGGUGUGGGGGUGAAUAUGUGCCUGGAAGGAAAUGCGAUAGUUGUUACAAAAUUUAAAAUCAAACUAGAGUCCAGAUUUUGAAAGGCUGAAAUAAUGUUGGAAGUGAAAUGGUGAGUUGAAUGGUGAUGACUUUAAGCCUUGUACUUAGAUCUUUUAAAAAAGAUAUCAGGAUGGGAGAGCAUAGUUUCACAGCCUGGGGGUUUUUGAGUUGACCACAAAGGCUUAGAAUGAGCUCACAGAGUGAGCCCCGAGUGCCAGAAGGUCUGGCUGCAAUGAUUCUCUAGGAUCCAGAACAGAGAGCAGACGGCCCAUGGUUGGAGCACUGGAAGCUCGCACUGUGUCCAUCCCAGGACCGGGGAAUGGAGCCCAGCCAGAGGAAGAUCCAGAGAUCUGGGAAAGCUUAACUUGGAUAAGAGAAGACAUGGAGGGGCCUGAUGUGAUAAUAAUACAUCAUCUUUCCCUGUGUAUAAACCGCAUCUAAAACCCAGUGUCUUAAACCAACAAU